rnacentral:pre_miRNA from 7 species
CAUGGCACCUCCGUUUCCCUGAGGAGCCCUUUGAGCCUGGAGUGAAAAAAAAAAACAGGUCAAGAGGCGCCUGGGAACUGGAGAAGAGUGUUAAACUUC